rnacentral:rRNA from 1 species
UACAGAGGUCCCGAGCGUUGUUCGGAUUCAUUGGGCGUAAAGGGUGCGUAGGCGGCGGGGUAAGUCUGAUGUGAAAUCCCGGGGCUCAACCCCGGAACUGCAUUGGAUACUGCCUUGCUUGAGUACUGGAGAGGAGACUGGAAUUUACGGUGUAGCAGUGAAAUGCGUAGAGAUCGUAAGGAAGGCCAGUGGCGAAGGCGAGUCUCUGGACAGUAACUGACGCUGAGGCACGAAGGCCAGGGGAGCAAACGGG